UUCACCAUCUGGAUCCUCCUCUUUCCCCCAGCUGGAACAUCCCCAAGGGGACAAAGCAGGGAGCAAACCCAAGGCUCACUGAAAACUUGACUGGGAUGCAAAGCAGAGCCCAGGACAGUGGGGUCCUGGCACUGCCAAACACGGAAACUAACUCAGGUGUCUACAGGAGAGGCCUUCUGAAGGUCAGACCAACAACCCUUGUCGCCAAACACACCCAGCCCUGGAAUGCGCCUCCCAGGGCAACUCUGACAGACAUCUGGAACCUUUUUCGUCCUGCAUGGCUCUCACCUGUCCUCUGACGCACCAUCAUAACGUGACACAUAAGUGGCAGGUACUUAUGGGGACUUCCAGUGCAGAGAUGGAAGAUACCGAAAACAAAACAAAACAGAGAAACAGCAACCACCACAAACCCAAGAGGCCACCAACAAAACACAACAACAACAAAAUUUCACACACCAGCUGGAGACAACACCCCCACAGACAAAUGUAGAGGGAAAAAUAAGAGUUUUGGAGUCCAUGAGGCCUGAAUAAACACCUGGCCUGUGACACUUACUAGCUGGGUAGCACUAGGCGAUUACUUUCUCUCUCUGAGACUCAU